rnacentral:rRNA from 1 species
GACAGAGGGUGCAAACGUUGUUCGGAAUCACUGGGCGUAAAGCGCACGUAGGCGGAUCUUUAAGUCAGGGGUGAAAUCCCGGAGCUCAACUCCGGAACUGCCUUUGAUACUGGGGAUCUUGAGUCCGGGAGAGGUGAGUGGAACUCCUAGUGUAGAGGUGAAAUUCGUAGAUAUUAGGAAGAACACCAGUGGCGAAGGCGGCUCACUGGCCCGGAACUGACGCUGAGGUACGAAAGCGUGGGGAGCCAAACAGG